UGCGCCGCGCCGCGCCGCUGUACGAAACUACGAAUACGAAACAGUGAUGAACUUUGACUAUACAACCAUGCCAGCCGACCUUUUUACGACCCAGUUUGGCUGACUGGGGAUGUAGUGAACGUAAAAAGCGCCCUCAACCAAGUGGCGAUACAAUGUAAUAACAGUCUAUUAUUUCAUAUUUAUUUCAUUUCUUUUUACUUUAUUUCAAUAUAUAUGUUUAGACAAUUAUAUUAGUAAUAAAUGGGUGUUCAAUGUACAUUCAAUAUAUCCUAAAAUGAUUCUGUUUUCUGCUAACAUGGUUCUGUACUCUGCUAAAACACAAGAUCGUUCUAUAUAUGGAUUCCUACUGUCCGAUCAGAAGAUCUCCGGUUCAAACUUUAUACAAGGAUGACGAUAAUACAAUUUAAAGAACUAUUAUCAUUAGUAGAAGCUGAUUUAAAAAAAAGCAAUAUAUUGUUCGUGAACGAAGUAACGAAGAAGCUGCGUCAAGAAGCUGCAAUCUGUACGUUUAGAAUCCUGCGCAAAAGUUUUCUGCGCAGACGACGCUCGACGCUCGACGUUUUAUCAUGUAAUGGCACCUUUACAUACAGCGGCAUACAGGUCUAGCAACGAGGUCGAAUUUCAAUGGUGGGGGAAGGCAGUUUUUUUUCACCUUAGUCACCGACGAGAUAUUCUUAAAGACCAGCAGCCUUACGGGGAUUCACUUUUAUAAUCGACAAUUAUCGACCAUUUUAUCGACCAUUCGAAUGUACUGAGGGUAACUGUAUAUAUUACAAUGUUUCUGGUCACUGUUUAUCAUCAGAAAGUUAUCUGUGCUUAAAAAUAAAACAAUAAU